rnacentral:rRNA from 1 species
GACGAACGCUGGCGGCGUGCUUAACACAUGCAAGUCGAACGGAAAGGCCCUGCUUGUGUGGGGUUCUCGAGUGGCGAACGGGUGAGUAACACAGGAAUAUCCUGCCCUGGACGUGGGGAUAACUUCAGGAAACUGGGGCUAAUACCGGAUAGGUGCUCCUGCUGCAGGGGGGGGGUCGGAAAUUUUGGGCGGUGGGGGAUGGACUCGCGGCUAACCAGCUGGUUGGUGGGGUAGUGGCUUACCAAGGCUUUGGCGGGUAGCCGGCCUGAGAGGGUGAACGGCCACAUUGGGACUGAGAUACGGCCCAGACUCCUACGGGAGGCAGCAGUGGGGAAUAUUGCACAAUGGGCGGAAGCCUGAUGCAGCAACGCCGCGUGCGGGAUGACGGCCUUCGGGUUGUAAACCGCUUUCGCCUGUGACGAAGCGUGAGUGACGGUAAUGGGUAAAGAAGCACCGGCUAACUACGUG